rnacentral:rRNA from 1 species
UACGGGGGGGGCAAGCGUUGUUCGGAAUUACUGGGCGUAAAGGGCGCGUAGGCGGCCAGGUAAGUCUGAUGUGAAAUCCCACGGCUUAACCGUGGAAUUGCAUCUUAUACUGUCUGGCUGGAGUCUGGGAGAGGGAAGCGGAAUUCCCGGUGUAGCGGUGGAAUGCGUAGAGAUGCGGAGGAACACCGAUGGCGAAGGCGGCCACCUGGACAGAUACUGACGCUGAGACGCGAAAGCGCGGGUAGCAAACAGG